rnacentral:rRNA from 1 species
UCAAAUGAAUUGACGGGGGCCCGCACAAGCGGAGGAACAUGUGGUUUAAUUCGAUGAUACGCGAGGAACCUUACCUGGGUUUAAAUGGGAAGUGACAGCCUUAGAAAUAGAGCCUUCUUCGGACACUUUUCAAGGUGCUGCAUGGUUGUCGUCAGCUCGUGCCGUGAGGUGUCGGGUUAAGUCCCAUAACGAGCGCAACCCCUAUUGAUAGUUACCAGCACGUAAUGGUGGGGACUCUAUCGAGACUGCCGGUGUAAACCGUGAGGAAGGUGGGGAUGACGUCAAAUCAGCACGGCCCUUACAUCCAGGGCUACACACGUGUUACAAUGGCCGGUACAAAGGGCAGCUACUCCGCGAGGAGAUGCGAAUCUUAAAAACCGGUCUCAGUUCGGAUCGAAGUCUGCAACCCGACUUCGUGAAGCUGGAUUCGCUAGUAAUCGUAUAUCAGCCAUGAUACGGUGAAUACGUUCCCGGGCCCU